CAUGGCUUCACCUUUAGGUGCCUCUUCAAUUUCUUCGCCGGGCUCCUCCGGUGACUCGCUAGAAGGUGGCGCUGUUUCCGGUGGAAUUGGGAUGGCUGUAAUUUGACAAAUCUGAUGCCUGGGAGCUCCAGGGCCCUCGUAUGGUUGAUGGCGAUGCCGAAGGAUGCCGCUGUGCCAUCCAGGACCAUGCAGAGGCACCGGGGGUCGGUCUGGACGAUGCCGCCGAGGGUGGUGCAGCAGGAGAACCCGGGCUCCAGGGCUUUGUUCCCAAUGAAGUCAAGGCACGGGGAGAGGGUCAUCAUCACACUCGAGCAGCUAUUGUUCUGCGCCACGGCCUUGGAUGCCAGCAGCGUCAUCAUCAUUGCAAGAACAAACGCAGCGGUGGCGAUCUCCAUCUUCCUCGCAGCCAUUCUCAGCUGUGGGCAGUCCCUCCCGGAGGAUGAAAAUGACUGAAUAACAAAGCUAUAUCUCGGAGAAGAAAGAACUUCGAUGAAUUGGCAGGUAGGCUUCGUAAGGACGUGAGAGGAGUCACUGUAUGCUGCGGCUGUGCCGAAAUUGUUAGAAUGCUAUACCAGGAAGUUGCCACUGUCUCCUGACCGCACACAUGUUUGGCAUAUUGUUGCAGCAUUCUAUUAAUGGAAAAGGCUCGAUGCAUGUGCAUAAUUUUA